rnacentral:lncRNA from 1 species
UGGAUACCACAAAACCAUCCAGUCGGGAUGAAUCAUCCUUCUGCACAAGUAAUCUCCUUGCAUUCUCGAUUCUCCUGCUAGUCCAGCAGCUUACUCCUCAUUGAUGUCUUAGCUGUACAGCUGCAAUCCACCCUUCUGCCUUUGCUCACAUCCAAGGCCUAGUGUUUCUUUCUCUGCCUGUGGAUUAUGAUGUAAAGCUCUCUACUACUGCUCCAGUGCCAGGCUUGCCUGCUUCCCACCAUGAUGGCCAUGGACUAACUAACCCGCUGAAAUUGUGAACAAAUACUCAGCCCAGCUGAGCCUCAAAUUUGUGAUCAGCUUCCUGAUUAUUGGGAUUCCAGGUCCCCAAGGAGAAGCCAUAAGUGUCCAGGGGCUGCUGGAACUACAUGCGCUGUCUUUCAGAGCAUCAGUGCAGGAGGUGUUCCUCUGACGCUGCCCUAGCAAUGUGCUGGACCUGAGGAAGUGCCCACUGGACUCAGAGCACCC